rnacentral:rRNA from 1 species
UGAACGCUAGCGGCAGGCCUAACACAUGCAAGUCGAGGGGUAACGAUGUCUUCGGACAGUCGACGACCGGCGCACGGGUGAGUAUCGCGUUUGUAACCUACCUUUAACUGGAGAAUAGCCCGAAGAAAUUCGGAUUAAUACUCCAUAACACUAUGAACUGGCAUCUUUUUAUAGUUAAAGCUCCGGCGGUUAAAGAUGGGCAUGCGUAACAUUAGUUUGUUGGUGAGGUAACGGCUCACCAAGACUACGAUGUUUAGGGGGUCUGAGAGGAUGGUCCCCCACACUGGUACUGAGACACGGACCAGACUCCUACGGGAGGCAGCAGUGAGGAAUAUUGGUCAAUGGGCGCAAGCCUGAACCAGCCAUGCCGCGUGAAGGAUGACAGCGCUAUGCGUUGUAAACUUCUUUUGUACAGGAAGAAAUGCUUCUACGUGUAGAAGUUUGACGGUACUGUACGAAUAAGCACCGGCUAACUCC